rnacentral:rRNA from 1 species
AUUGAACGCUGGCGGCGUGCUUAACACAUGCAAGUCGAACGAGAACGGAUUAUAGCUUGCUAUAAUUGUCAGCUAAGUGGCGCACGGGUGAGUAAUGUAUAGGUAAUAUGCCUCUUACUAAGGGAUAACAAAUGGAAACGUUUGCUAAUACCUUAUACUCCUUAUUAACAGAAGUUAAUAAGGGAAAGAUUUAUUGGUAAGAGAUUAGCCUGUAUUGUAUCAGUUAGUUGGUGGGGUAAUGGCUUACCAAGACUAUGACACAUAACUGGUUUGAGAGGAUGAUCAGUCACACUGGAACUGAGACACGGUCCAGACUCCUACGGGAGGCAGCAGUGGGGAAUAUUGCACAAUGGACGAAAGUCUGAUGCAGCAACGCCGCGUGGAUGAUGACACAUUUCGGUGCGUAAACUCCUUUUAUAUGAGAAGAUAAUGACGGUAUUAUAUGAAUAAGCACCGGCUAACUCCGUGCCAGCCGCCGCAGUAACAC